rnacentral:tRNA from 1 species
UGGAAUGUAGCUCAGGGGUAGAAGCAUUUGCCUAGCAUGCAUGAAGUCUUUAGUUCAAUUCUUAGCAUUGCAG